GUCUACGGCCAUGCCACCCUGAACAAGCCCAAUCCUGUCUGAUCUCGGAAGCUAAGCAGGGUUGGGCCUGGUUAGUACUUGGAUGGGAGACCACCUAGGAAGACCAGGUGUUAUAGGCG
rnacentral:rRNA from 1 species